rnacentral:rRNA from 1 species
UAGAUUUCCGAAUGGGGGAACCCGGCAGUGGUUAUGCACUGUCACCCAUAGCUUAGACUAUGAGGAGGGCACCCGGGGAACUGAAACAUCUAAUUACCCGGAGGAAAAGUAAUCAAACGAGAUUUUCUUAGUAGCGGCGAGCGAACGGGAAAGAGGCCAAACCGGAACGGGCAACCGCACCGGGGUUGAGGACAGUCAUCAAGUGUAAAUGAGGUAGAAGAAUCGAGCUGGAACGCUCAGCCGCAGAAGGUGAAAGCCCUGUAAUCGAAACCUUGCAUACAUGGGACUGUAUCCAGAGUACCACGAGACACGUGAAACCUUGUGGGAAGCAGGGGGGACCACCCUCCAAGCCAAAAUACUGAUAUCGACCGAUAGCGCAUAGUACCGUGAGGGAAAGGUGAAAAGAACCCCUGGCGGGGAGUGAAAGAGAACCUGAAACCGUAUGUCUACAAACAGUCGAAGUCUGUAUAUAUAUCAGGACGACGGCGUGCCUAUUGAAGAAUGAACCGACGAGUUACUGUUGCUAGCGAGGUUAAGUGGAAAACAUGGAGCCGCAGCGAAAGCGAGUCUGAACAGGGCGUUCAGUUAGUAAUAGUAGACCCGAAACCGUAGUGAUCUAUCCAUGGCCAGGUUGAAGCACAGGUAAAAUUGUGUGGAGGACCGAACUCGUGAGCGUUGAAAAGCUUUGGGAUGAGUUGUGGAUAGGGGUGAAAUGCCAAUCGAACACGGAGAUAGCUGGUUCUCCCCGAAAUAGCUUUAGGGCUAGCCUCGAGGUAGAGAGUAUAGGCGGUAGAGCACUGAUCGGGCUAGGGGCCAUACCGGUUACCGAACCUAGUCAAACUACGAAUGGCUAUACUUAUACUCGGGAGUCAGACAGUGAAUGAUAAGGUCCAUUGUCAAGAGGGAAACAGCCCAGAACACCGACUAAGGUCCCCAAUGUUACACUAAGUGGCGAAGGAUGUGGAAUUCCAAAACAACCAGGAUGUUGGCUUAGAAGCAGCCACCAUUUAAAGAGUGCGUAAUAGCUCACUGGUCGAGAGACUCUGCGCCGAAAAUGUCCGGGGCUAAAGUGUAAAACCGAAGUCGUGUCAUAUGCAGCAAUGUAUAUGGGUAGGGGAGCGUUCUCAUCGGGCUGAAGCAGUACCGUAAGGAGUUGUGGACUGAUGAGAAGUGAGAAUGUCGGUAUGAGUAGCGAAAAGAAUGGUGAGAAUCCAUUCCACCGAAAGCCUAAGGGUUCCUGAGCAACGAUCGUCGUCUCAGGGUAAGUCGGGACCUAAGCCGAGGCGGAAAAGCGUAGGCGAUGGACAACAGGUUGAAAUUCCUGUACCGGUGUGAAUCGUUUGAUCGAUGGAGUGACACAGUAAGGUAGGUCAGCACGCGAUUGGAAGAGCGUGUUUAAGCAGGUAGGUUGAGCUAUAGGCAAAUCCGUAGCUCUAAAAGCUGAGAUGUGAUGACGAGCGACUAGCAAUAGUCGCGAAGUGAUUGAUCCUACACUGUCGAGAAAAGCUUCUAGGUAGAGACACAUCGCCCGUACCAAAACCGACACAGGUAGGCGGGGAGAGAAUCCUAAGGUGCGCGGGAAAACCCUCGUUAAGGAACUCGGCAAAAUGCCUCCGUAACUUCGGGAAAAGGAGGACUCAUGUAGUGUGAAGAGCAGAAGCGCUUGGAGCAUGAAUGAGUGGCACAAGAGAGGCGCAAGCGACUGUUUACCACAAACACAGGUGCCUGCUAAAGCGAAAGCUGAUGUAUAGGUGCUGACACCUGCCCGGUGCUGGAAGGUUAAGAGGAGGGGUUAGACUUCGGUCGAAGCUCUGAAUUGAAGCCCCAGUAAACGGCGGCCGUAACUAUAACGGUCCUAAGGUAGCGAAAUUCCUUGUCGGGUAAGUUCC